GUCUGCCUUCCCCUCCACAAGCCUCACCUCCAGUCCUUUCCUUGGAGAUGCCAUCCCCACCUCCAGGAGCCCACCCAGACGGACCCAGUGAGAAAGGCUGCCUGGCUCUGGGCUUGUCCCGGGAGGCAGAACCUGCCGCAUGGACUGGCCCCGACUGCCCUGCUCCGCGGUGAAGGCAGCACAGCAGACGGGACUUACCAAGGGCGGGCCACAUAUCUGAAAAAUUAGGGGCAGAGUCCAGCACAGGGCUGGGCACAGGCAGGCCCCCAACAAUGGUGCAUGGCCCAGAUGAAAUGAAGCAGCUUUGCCCCAGUCUUGGCCUCAGGAAGCAUCUCUGAAGUGUGAACACCCUGGCCAGGAGUGACACUGAUGGAUCACUCACCCUCCUGCCGACUGCACAGCCCCGUCCUGGACUCUGGCAGACCACGAGCACUGGCUUCCCAGCAGAACCUGGCUUGACCCCAACAAGGCAGACAUUGUGACGUUCACCCAUGUAGAGAUGUAGAGAGAGCCAUCUCAGACCGCUGACCUCCGCAACCAGCAGAUAAUCAGCAUCUUGUUUAAGACUAAGUUAACUUUAAGACUAAGUUUGGGCCGGGCGUGGUGGCUCACGCCUGUAAUCCCAGCACUUUGGGAGGCUGAGGCGGGCGGAUCACAAGUUCAGGAGAUCGAGACCAUCCUGGUUAACACGGU
rnacentral:lncRNA from 10 species